rnacentral:rRNA from 1 species
UAGUCCACGCCGUAAACGAUGUCAACUAGCCGUCGGGCUCAUUAUAAGGGUUUGGUGGCGCAGCUAACGCGCUAAGUUGACCGCCUGGGGAGUACGCCGGCAACGGUAAAACUCAAAGGAAUUGACGGGGCCCGCACAAGCGGUGGAGCAUGUGGUUUAAUUCGAUGCAACGCGAAGAACCUUACCUACCCUUGACAUCCUCAGAACUUGUUAGAGAUAACUUGGUGCCUUCGGGAACUGAGAGACAGGUGCUGCAUGGCUGUCGUCAGCUCGUGUCGUGAGAUGUUGGGUUAAGUCCCGCAACGAGCGCAACCCUUAUCCUUGUUUGCCAGCACUUCGGGUGGGAACUCCAGGGAGACUGCCGGUGAUAAACCGGNGGAAGGUGGGGACGACGUCAAGUCAUCAUGGCCCUUACGAGUAGGGGCUACACACGUGCUACAAUGGCGUAUACAGAGGGCUGCCAACUCGCGAGAGUGAGCGAAUCCCAGAA